CCUACGGGAGGCAGCAGUAGGGAAUAUUGGGCAAUGGAGGCAACUCUGACCCAGCCAUGCCGCGUGCAGGAAGACGGUCCUCUGGAUUGUAAACUGCUUUUGAAUGGGAAGAAUGUGCUCCUUGCGAGGGGUAAUGACGGUACCAUUAGAAUAAGCCACGGCUAACUACGUGCCAGCAGCCGCGGUAAUACGUAGGUGGCGAGCGUUAUCCGGAUUUAUUGGGUUUAAAGGGUGCGUAGGCGGCUUAAUAAGUCGGUGGUUAAAAGUAGCAGCUUAACNGUUUUACAUGCCAUCGAUACNGUUG
rnacentral:rRNA from 1 species